rnacentral:rRNA from 1 species
AACGAACGCUGGCGGCAGGCUUAACACAUGCAAGUCGAGCGCCCCGCAAGGGGAGCGGCAGACGGGUGAGUAACACGUGGGAAUCUACCCAUCCCUACGGAACAACUCCGGGAAACUGGAGCUAAUACCGUAUACGCCCUUCGGGGGAAAGAUUUAUCGGGGAUGGAUGAGCCCGCGUUGGAUUAGCUAGUUGGUGGGGUAAAGGCCUACCAAGGCGACGAUCCAUAGCUGGUCUGAGAAGAUGAUCAGCCACAUUGGGACUGAGACACGGCCCAGACUCCUACGGGAGGCAGCAGUGGGGAAUAUUGGACAAUGGGCGCAAGCCUGAUCCAGCCAUGCCGCGUGAAUGAUGAAGGCCUUAGGGUUGUAAAGUUCUUUCACCGAUGAAGAUAAUGACGGUAGUCGGAGAAGAAGCCCCGGCUAACUUCGUGCCAGCCGCCGCCGUAA